AGCUGUGAUGAUGGGUAAACACGUCUUACACGAUGUGAUGAAAGUCUUACCGCCUCA
rnacentral:sRNA from 1 species